UUAAGUCCCAUGUUUCAUUGUUCAUGAGUUUAUUAUAUUAUGUUAAUGUAAUUUUGUUAACCUUUUUGGAAAUAAGCAGAUAUAAGAUUUUAAAGUCAAUGAAAAAUGAAAGAAGAAAAAUAUAUUACACAUAUGUUGCUGUUAAAAUUUAUUAAAUAAAUACAGGUAAGAUUUGACGGACUUCCUUCCUUGUUGUGCUGGUAUCCAUUAUGACUUUUUUUUACUUUUACACAUUUUACUUUUCAUAAUAUGAAGAAUUUGAAUGGAAUGGUCAAAACUGUAGUGAAAAGUUGUCUCAUUGGCAACCAUACCAUAUUGUAUUUUUAUAUUUUCAAUAAUCUCACACAAUUUGAAAUUAUAUGUAAGCUACAUGUUGAUAAAUUAUAUGUGACUUUCAUGAAGAGAAAUAUUUUUGAUAUUUCCUAUGCUUUGAUUUCCCAAAACAAUGUCAUAUCUGAACAGCAGGUAGUUAUGUGCAUCUGUUUCUGGGAGUCAUUUAUAGUUUAGUCCAAUAUUUGGUUAACUAAUUGUUAUUUCCAUUUUGUAAGUUAUGUAAGUUGUUUUCUGUCAUUUAUUUUGGUCUGUUUGAAGUUUUGUGUAAGAAAGUGUGUUAAGCAGAUAAUACUUUACACUUGAUGAAAUCAUAAGUCCAAUAUUUUGUCUUAUGUUGUAAUCAUUUUCUGUUGAACCUAUUUGCAUAAAAGACUUCUUUGUUUUAAUUUGUUUAUAACUGCAGUAAGGACAAUUUCUAUUGUUUGAAAUCAGAUAUGUUAGAAACUCAGGUUUUAUUUUGCUGUUUUAUAUAUUUUUAUGGUUGGAUUAAUUGUUGCAGCUUGACUAAUUGUACUCUUGUAUAAAUGAAUAUAUUUUCCAUUUUGAAUAAUAAUUUUAUGUUAGAUUUAUUGAUGUGUGAAUGGGUUGUUGAGUUGUAUGUUCUACACUUUUUGUUCCAAACAAGGACUUAUAAAUGUAAAAUAGCUCUACUUAGUAUGUUUUAGCAUACUGACAAAAGUGUACAUGUUUACUGUGAGAAAGGACAUCAUUGUUAUCAUGAAAGAAUUGUGUUAACCAAUCACAAUGACUGGAUGUUUUAUUUAAUAUUUUAUAAUAUUCACAACAUAUCUAUCAAGAUUAAGACAAACUGUUUCUGGUAUUAAGUGCAACCACGAAAUCAAAAUUGUUAAAACAACUGAGGGGAGAACAAUAAUGUUAAUAAAGAACCAUUUGGCUCAUAAGUUAUUUGAAGGCAGUCUAAGUAGCAUUGGAACAUCUCAUAUCCAGGGCCAUUAAUUGGUCUCACUCCUUCAAUCAUGGGUCAUUUGAAACCUUUGUAUAACUUGUAUGUUAAAGUUUUAGUUUAUCAAUUAUAUCCGUUAUUUUGUUGAUAUUGGUGAUAGGACAUCAUUAGUUAUUUUGAAUAAGUUAGUUGUUGGUGUGAAUGAUAUAAAGCCAUUACAUGUGAGAAAUUAAAUAACAAGUCUACUGGUUGUUUGAUGUUUAGGUGAUGACUAUGUAUGAUUUUGAUUUUAUAAAAUAUCUUGCUUAUGUUGGUCUGAAAUAUGUGUUAUGGUAGCCAGAUACUAUAUCUACUUAACUAUAUGUAAUGAAAAACCUUAAAUGUGUCAUUUUUAUUUUCAGUAUUGAUGCAACAUUAAACUUGUUCUUUUUUUUUUUAUGUUAAAUAUACACAAAGGAGUAAGUUUGUUAAGGCACAAAUUUGGCCCUGAUUAUCAAACUCAAUGUUUCAAGAUAAAAAAUGGUGUCAACAAUCUAAAUAUUCAAAUAGAGCACAGGCGUCAACAAUCUAAAAUUUCAAGUCUUCAAGUCUGUGUAUGUAAAAUGUCAGUACAAACAUUAUGUUAUAGGACCUUUUUCUGCCAACACAUGUGCUGUUUGUUUUUCGUUUAAAAAAGAAAUCACAGAAAAAUUGCCCUUUUUCAAUGAUUUUUUUGCAGAAAAUCAAAAUGGGUGCUUUUUGUGAUGUCAUGAAUCCUAUGCUAUAAUGUAUAAAAAGUUUCCUAUUUAGUCAUUGUAUUAGCUAUGAUUUAUUGUGACAUUAGUCAAUAAAUCCUAAUUUCAUAUUUUAGCUGGAAUGAGGGGCUAUUUAAGCUCUGAUUCCUUUCACGGAUUUGGCUAUACUUUUUGAACCUUUUGGAUUAUAGCUCUUCAUCUUUUAUAUAAGCUUUGGAUUUCAAAUAUUUUGGCCACGAGCAUCACUGAAGAGACAUGUAUUGUCGAAAUGCGCAUCUGGUGCAAGAAAAUUGGUACCGUUAAUUUUAUUAAGACCUUUUUAAGCCUACUCCUUUCUGUAAGUUUAUCUUUUGGUGCAUUGUAUUGAAUAUUGUAAUUGUUUACUUAAUUUAGAUGGACUUAUUUGAAAUCGUAAAAUUAUUGAAUUAAUUCAACAGACAUUUGUAUUUCAUAAGUUUUAUUCAUGCAACAUGUAUUUUAUAUCAUCUGCUCAUAAUGAAAUCACUUAACACAAUUCAUGAUGACAUUAAACAACUAAAAAAAUGAUAACAAACUCUCUUUAUAGCCCUUGAUUCAAAAGGAUAUUCCAUUUGGAUGUUUGUCAAUAUAAAACACAAAUAAAAAGAUAUUUUGCCUUGUAACUUUAUUUUAUUAGUCCCCUACCGAUGAAGUCAAAGGGGACUAAAAGGGGCAUUAGCUACGAGAUAUAUAAAAAUCUAAAGUUUGAUUCUUUUUUGUUCAAUCAAUAAUGAAAGUGAAAUAGUGAAAAAACAAUUCGCUUUUUGCAG
rnacentral:lncRNA from 1 species